UUAUACAGUGAAACUGCGAAUGGCUCAUUAAAUCAGUUAUCGUUUAUUUGAUAGUUCCUUUACUACAUGGUAUAACUGUGGUAAUUCUAGAGCUAAUACAUGCUUAAAAUCUCGACCCUUUGGAAGAGAUGUAUUUAUUAGAUAAAAAAUCAAUGUCUUCGGACUCUUUGAUGAUUCAUAAUAACUUUUCGAAUCGCAUGGCCUUGUGCUGGCGAUGGUUCAUUCAAAUUUCUGCCCUAUCAACUUUCGAUGGUAGGAUAGUGGCCUACCAUGGUUU
rnacentral:rRNA from 1 species